ACAGCAGCAGCCGCGGUAAUACAGAGGAUGCAAGCGUUAUCCGGAAUUAUUGGGCGUAAAGGGCUCGCAGGCGGUUUCUUAAGUCUGGUGUGAAAGCCCCCGGCUCAACCGGGGAGGGUCAUUGGAAACUGGGAAACUUGAGUGCAGAAGAGGAGAGUGGAAUUCCACGUGUAGCGGUGAAAUGCGUAGAGAUGUGGAGGAACACCAGUGGCGAAGGCGACUCUCUGGUCUGUAACUGACGCUGAGGAGCGAAAGCGUGGGGAGCGAACAGGAUUAGAUACCCCGGUAGUCCCUGUCUCUUAUAC
rnacentral:rRNA from 1 species